CAGCCGCCACGGGAAUACGAAGGGGGCUAGCGUUGUUCGGAUUUACUGGGCGUAAAGCGCACGUAGGCGGACUUUUAAGUCAGGGGUGAAAUCCCGGGGCUCAACCCCGGAACUGCCUUUGAUACUGGAAGUCUUGAGUAUGGUAGAGGUGAGUGGAAUUCCGAGUGUAGAGGUGAAAUUCGUAGAUAUUCGGAGGAACACCAGUGGCGAAGGCGGCUCACUGGACCAUUACUGACGCUGAGGUGCGAAAGCGUGGGGAGCAAACAGGAUUAGAUACCCCGGUAGUCCCUGUCUCUUAUAC
rnacentral:rRNA from 1 species